CAGUUCGGAUUGUAGGCUGCAACCCGACUACAUGAAGCUGGAAUCGCUAGUAAUCGCGAAUCAGAAUGUCGCGGUGAAUACGUUCCCGGGUCUUGUACACACCGCCCGUCACACCAUGGGAGUCGGAAAUGCCCGAAGUCAGUGACCCAACCGUAAGGAGGGAGCUGCCGAAGGUGGAGCCGGUAACUGGGGUGAAGUCGUAACAAGGUACC
rnacentral:rRNA from 1 species